rnacentral:rRNA from 1 species
AGAUUGAACGCUGGCGGCAGGCCUAACACAUGCAAGUCGAGCGGCAGCACGGGUACUUGUACCUGGUGGCGAGCGGCGGACGGGUGAGUAAUGCCUAGGAAUCUGCCUGGUAGUGGGGGAUAACGCUCGGAAACGGACGCUAAUACCGCAUACGUCCUACGGGAGAAAGCAGGGGACCUUCGGGCCUUGCGCUAUCAGAUGAGCCUAGGUCGGAUUAGCUAGUUGGUGAGGUAAUGGCUCACCAAGGCGACGAUCCGUAACCGGUCUGAGAGGAUGAUCAGUCACACUGAACUGAGACACGGUCCAGACCUCCGUAACGGGAGGCCAGCGAAGUGGGGAAUAGUUGGAACAAUGGGACGAAAGCCUAGA